CCAGACUCCUACGGGAGGCAGCAGUGAGGAAUAUUGGUCAAUGGGCGCUAGCCUGAACCAGCCAAGUAGCGUGAAGGAUGACUGCCCUAUGGGUUGUAAACUUCUUUUAUAUGGGAAUAAAGUGCAGUAUGUAUACUGCUUUGCAUGUACCUUAUGAAUAAGGAUCGGCUAACUCCGUGCCAGCAGCCGCGGUAAUACGGAGGAUCCGAGCGUUAUCCGGAUUUAUUGGGUUUAAAGGGUGCGUAGGCGGUCCGGAAAGUCAGGGGUAAAAGCCCGGGGCUCAACCCCGGCGAGCCGUUGAAACUGUCGGACUAGAGACGGCGAGAAGUACGCGGAAUGCGCGGUGUAGCGGUGAAAUGCAUAGAUAUCGCGCAGAACUCCGAUUGCGAAGGCAGCGUACCGGCGCCGGACUGACGCUGAGGCACGAAAGCGUGGGUAUUGAACAGGAUUAGAUACCCGCGUAAG
rnacentral:rRNA from 1 species